rnacentral:rRNA from 2 species
UACGGAGGGUGCAAGCGUUAAUCGGAAUUACUGGGCGUAAAGCGCGCGUAGGCGGCGUGUCACGCCGGGUGUGAAAGCCCCGGGCUCAACCUGGGAACGGCAUCCGGAACGGGCAGGCUAGAGUGCAGGAGAGGAAGGUAGAAUUCCCGGUGUAGCGGUGAAAUGCGUAGAGAUCGGGAGGAAUACCAGUGGCGAAGGCGGCCUUCUGGACUGACACUGACGCUGAGGUGCGAAAGCGUGGGUAGCAAACAGG